AACGAACGCUGGCGGCAGGCCUAACACAUGCAAGUCGAACGCUGUAGCAAUACAGAGUGGCAGACGGGUGAGUAACGCGUGGGAACAUUCCUAGUGGUACGGAAUAGCUCAGGGAAACUUGGGGUAAUACCGUAUACGCCCGAAAGGGGAAAGAUUUAUCGCCAUUAGAUUGGCCCGCGUAGGAUUAGCUAGUUGGUGAGGUAACGGCUCACCAAGGCGACGAUCCUUAGCUGGUUUGAGAGAAUGACCAGCCACACUGGGACUGAGACACGGCCCAGACACCUACGGGAGGCAGCAGUGGGGAAUCUUGGACAAGGGGCGAAAGCCUGAUCCAGCCAUGCCGCGUGAGUGACGAAGGCCUUAGGGUUGUAAAGCUCUUUUGCCGGGGACGAUAAUGACGGUACCCGGAGAAUAAGUCCCGGCUAACUUCGUGCCAGCAGCCGCCGUAA
rnacentral:rRNA from 1 species